CGCACACACACUGGGCUUUGUCUGGAAAGAUACAUGCCAAGGAGAGCCUGGAAAUGGGAGCUGGGCUGCCCAGAAAACAGCAUCUCCUUUUGGAAGCGUGUGCUCCACCACGUGAGCUGUGUUCUCAGGGAGCUGGGCAGGCUGGGCAGAGAGGAAUGGAGAUUUCGGCCAAGAGGCAGUGAAGGCCAGCUGUCUUGGCCCAUUCAGACUGCUGUAAGAGAACUGAAGUUCAGGUGGUUCACCAACAAUAGAGAUCAAGGUGUCAGCAGUUUUCAGGUCAAGAGGAUCCCUUUUCUAGUCACGGGCAGCCAUCUUACAGGAUGUCCCAACUCUACAGAUGCCAUACUCAAAUAAGAUUAUAUGACUAUGACCUAUGGGUCAUGUAAGGACGUCAGCACUUCAGCCAGUGAAGGACCCACCAGGACGCAGCCCUAUACUAUGACAACAGUGGAGUCACUUGUUGAAAAGAAAGUGUCAUAAGGAUCCCUGAGGCAUCCCUAGAGGUCAAGUGUCCCUGUGAAACAUCCAGACCUAAAAUGGACUUUGAGUGCAACCAUAAUAAAAUUCUUUUAUGCUAAUCUACUAACAUACUUGGGUUAUUUGUUAUUGCAAAAAGAUUUAGCAUAGCCUGAUAAAGCUAGUAACUUCUGAUUUCCUCAAAUCGUGAUCCAUAGUUGGGCUCCUAGCUACUCUUAAGAGAAAUGUGUGCCACUUAGUAGCUAUGAGGUUUUGUAAAAGUUAUUACACCAGCCUGAGUUUCAGUAUCCUCUUCUGUUGCACAAGGUCACUGGUCUGUUUCAGGUGUAA
rnacentral:lncRNA from 1 species